CUUGCAUCAACAAAUAUGGCCGCUUGACGUAACGUCGGUAAAGUACAUCGUGUUCUAAAUUGGUAGUAUAUUAAUCGCAAAUGUGAGAAUUACUGAAAGUAAUUGCUGAAAACAUUCGGUACGAUUGUUGCAAAUUGUUUUUUGAAUUAGCUAUGAAUAAAAUGUGCGCUUCUUUUGUGAUUUUCCAAAAAAAAUGAUUCUUCUAGAAACAAAAGAACUGGAUGCCAUGUAUUAUGAAGUAUUCAUCCUAUCAAACGUUUUGUCUCUACAGGAUGUUACAGUACCUGAAGGAAGCAUAAAUUAACGUACCCUUUAUCCUUUGGAAAUAUGGGCAGUGUAUUGCUGUUGCUAAAAGAAACAGUUUUGACAAUAAAUAGGAGUAUUAUACUACAACUCUGUGAGGCAUCGAUCGUUGCAGUCCUGUUUCACUCCACAACAUAAGAGCGUCUGAAAGAAACAUGACAAUGCUUUUUCCCGAAUGGAUGCAGUAGAAUCUGUUGUUUAUUUACUAAAGAAAGGAUUCGCAGCAACUAAUGGAGCAGUCUGUGAUAGACAUGAUAGACAUGGAAGUCAACAACAAGUUAGGACAUCAUGAUCAGUGAAGAACAUCAGGACCACCAGGACAUCAAGGAACGAGACCACCAAAAUCCAAUCCACUAAUCUCGGUCCAAUCAAGGGAAUGUAACAUUUCUUGGAAUUCUACAUUGUAAUAUAUGUUUUAUUUCUUUUAAUUUUUAUA
rnacentral:lncRNA from 1 species